AUUACUUCAGUCCUAGAAACCAACAAAAUAGGGCCGAAAUCCUAUCUUAUUAUUCCAUGCUGCAGUAUUCAAGGCGACAAGCCUGCUUGAAACACUCUAAUUUUCUCAAAGUAAAAGUCCUGGAAAAACUCCACACAAUGAAGUGUGGAGAAAUCCAGAAGGAUGCUAGAAUUCACCAAGUGCACACCCCUCGAGGGCGGACUGGCUGCUUCCAGCAGAAAUCCAACUACGAGCUUUUUAACUGCAACAACUUUAAUAUACGCUAUUGGAGCUGGAAUUACCGCGGCUGCUGGCACCAGACUUGCCCUCCAAUUGUUACUCUGAAAGGGGUUUGGAUUCCUAUCAUUCCAAUCACUAGAAAUGAAAUUUCCAGUGUUGUUAUUUCUUGUCACUACCUCCCUGAAUCAGGAUUGGGUAAUUUGCGCGCCUGCUGCCUUCCUUAGAUGUGGUAGCCGUUUCUCAGGCUCCCUCUCCGGAAUCGAACCCUAAUUCCCCGUUACCCGUCACUGCCACGGUAGUCCAAUACAGUACCGUCGAAAGCUGAUAGGUCAGAAACUUGAAUGAUCCGUCGCAGACCGAAGUCAACGCGAUCCGUUCGGUUACUAUGAAUCACCUGAGGACCACCGGAAGGUGGGUUGGUUCUGUAUCUAAUAAACACUGCCCUUCCAGGGGAAGAGGCAUGUGCGCAUGUAUUAGCCAUAGAAUUACCACGGUUAUCCAUGUAGUAAAGACCAUCAAAUAAACUAUAACUGUUUUAAUGAGCCAUUCGCAGUUUAGCCGUAUAAAAGCUUAUACUUAGACAUGCAUGGCUUAAUCUUUAAGACAAGCAUAUGA
rnacentral:rRNA from 1 species